rnacentral:lncRNA from 1 species
CCCCGCAGCCUGUCGGACGCUGCCUUUGACACGCUGCGGCUCUGGGCCGUGCUGGCUCUGUCGCUGCUGCGGCUGCUGGGGACGCGCCACCACCUGCAGGCGUACCUGGGGCUGGCGGAGCGCCGGGCGCGCAGCCUGCGCCGGGCGGCGGGACGCGUCCCGGCCCGGCAGCUCCAGCAGCAGAUCGCCAGGAUUUACUGCUACGUGUCCGUGGUGAGCCUGCAGUACCUGGGGCCCGUGAUCCUCACGCUGCACUGCACCCUGCUGCUCAAGACGCUGGGCCAGCACUCCUGGGGGCUGUACCCCGAGUCCCCCGCCGUGUCCCCCGCCGUGUCCCCAGCGGCGCCGGUGGCCCCGCCACGCCCCGAGGGCGACGCGGGCGGGGACGUGCACGAGGUGGUGCAGGAGAUCUCGGGGGUCCUGCGCUGCAUCUUCACCCCCCUCUUCUUCCGAGGGCUCUUCUCCUUCCUCACCUGGUGGGUGGCCGCCUGCCAAGUGGUCACCAGCCUCUUCGGCCUCUACUUCCACCAGUACCUGGCAGCGUCCUGAUGGGAGGGACUGGGAGGGACUGGGAGGGACUGGGAGGGACUGGGUGCUGCCCGUCCCCCGCUGCUGCCUUGUCUGCUUGUCCCACUUUGAGGACACACGCGGGGACGUGGGUGCCACCAGGACGGGUUUCGUGUCACCGCUGUGCCUGCCCCUCGUGGGGACCCUCCAGGGCUGCCUUUUCCUGGAGGGCAGCGGCUCCUGGAGCGCUGGGGACGCGGUGGGGACCUCCAGGAGCGGCCAGCGGAGGUUUCGGGGUGUUCCCAGCUGACCGGAGGGGUUUUUGUAGGGGGUUUUUGUGGGGGGCUUUUGUGGGGGGGUUUUGUAGGGUCUCUGCACCCCGGCGUCACCCCCCGCGCUCCGUGUGACCCCUCGAGCCCCUCGGGGGCGGCUGCCUCACAAUAAACAAGUGACACCAGCGUCGUCCUCA